rnacentral:rRNA from 1 species
CNUUUGGUAGGNUUUGCCUACCGGCGGACGGCUCAGUAACACGUGGACAACCUGCCCUCGGGAGGGGGAUAAUCCCGGGAAACUGGGAAUAAACCCCCAUAGGUCAUGGAGGCUGGAAGGCGCCAUGACCGAAAUUCCGAAAGGAGCCCGAGGAUGGGUCUGCGGCCUAUCAGGUCGUAGUGGGGGUAACGGCCCCACUAGCCUACGACGGGUACGGGCCCUGAGAGGGGGAGCCCGNAGAUGGACUCUGAGACACGAGUCCAGGCCCUACGGGGCGCAGCAGGCGCGAAAACUCCGCAAUGCUCGAAAGAGCGACGGGGGGACUCCGAGUGCCUACGCUUUGCGUAGGCUUUUCCCGAGCCUAAAAAGCUCGGGGAAUAAGGGCUGGGUAAGACGGGUGCCAGCCGCCGCGGUAAUACCCGCAGCUCGAGUGGUGGCCGCUUUUAUUGGGCCUAAAGCGUCCGUAGCCGGUCUGGUAAAUGCCUGGGUAAAUCGUCUGGCUUAACCAGACGGCUCCCAGGUAGACUGCCANACUUGGGACCGGAGGAGGAAAGGGUACUCCAGGGGUAGGGUGAAAUCCUGUAUCCUGGAGAACA